GCCGGAGUAGCUCAGGUAGUUAGAGCGAGAGACUCAUAAGCUCUAGGUCACAGGUGCAAGUCCUGUCUCCGGCA
rnacentral:tRNA from 1 species